ACAAAUUUUUGGAUUUUUACCCUAGCUUUUCACAAAGAAAAAAAUUAAAGAAAACCCUUCGGCAUUCCAUACGGAAAUGACACCGCUUAAAAAUAUCAACUGCUUCUUACCAUUAGUUAUUCUUAAUUCACUCUAUUCUCCCCACUCUCUCUGUGUAUGUAUCGUUUCUUCUCUUCUUUUACAAUCUAACGUUCUCUUCCAUCACAGUUUGAUCAAUUUCUUGAAUUUCCCUUGCUAAUAACAUCUACUUUCUACCCUCACUGCCAUCUUCAUUUACCAUGUUACACUUACUUCCGCUUUGGAUUUUUACAUCAGUUCGUCUUUUAUUCCCUCCAUUGCUGUUACCAACAUUACUGCAGAAAUGGAUAACAAACUACUUACAAGAUCAUUCUGAGAAAAGAAAAAGACCAAAACGACAUGCUUAUUUUUGACGCCCAUGAAGAGUUCGCAGAAAUGCCCUAACAGAGAGACAUCCCCCACAGCUUGCGGAAAUGACUUGAAUUCUAAGUCGGAAAACCAAUAAUGUUGCAGGUGAUGCAGAGCAACAAAAAAAAAAAAAAAAAAAAAAAAAAAAAAAGUAGAACCUUCCCUCCCUCUCUCUCUAUUCGUCUUUGUUCACUCCAUCGCUGUUACCAAGUACCAACGUUACUGCAGAGUUGGAUAACAGGUACUUAACAAGUUUUGUUCUGAGUAAAAAAGAGACCAACACGACAUGCUUAUUGUGACUCGUAUGAAGUGUUCGCAAAAAAUGCCUGACAAGAUCUGUUGGUACAUCCGCAGUGUGGAAUUGGAUCCACACAAAUUUCACAGUGAUCAAUAUAAAUUAAUUCAACAAUCAAUAGGUUAUAAACAUAAUCUCACUGCUAAGCUGAAUCAUAAACCCAUAAAUAUAUUAGGUAAAUUUGUUUAUUACAGAAGGCUAUUCAUUGAAAAACAGAACCUCCUCCUAUAAUAACUCAAUGACUGUUGUUCUUGCAAUAUGCCGAAAAAAAUUAAGCUUCAGUGACUAUAUAUAUUGAUUAUAGUUUAGCGGUAUGGAGUUUAGAGUGUAUUACAUUUUCAUCUUUCGGUAAAGUUUUAUUUCUUCUGCUUAUAUAGAACUCAUUGUUAUAUUAUAUAUAAAGGCAGGACAUAGCCCCGCAUACGUGGCAUGCUUCAAUGAUCAGGAUUCCUAUUUAUCUAUUUCCUCCCUUUUUAUUUAUUUUAUUAUAACUAAUACUAAAAAUGUUUCUUUUAUUAGUGCUUUCCCCUGAAAGGGUUCUUUCAAUUUGUUUUCCCUUAAAAUUAUCUUUCUUUAACCAUUUUACAUUAAGAAAAACUAAUGGACACCGUACCAAAACCUCUUAAAUACUGCUAUCCUUUUCAUUGUGGCUACUUGUAUUCCUUCAAGUUGAGCAAGGGUAAGAGAAGCGGAUAUUCAGAGAAGGAAGAAUUAAAAAUCAGUAUUCAUCAUGACAAUAUUAAUGAACUUACUGACAUUAAAAUUGAGGAUUUACAGGAUGGUGAUGAGAUCAAGAUCAAUGAGUAUCAAUAACAUCGGUUUCCGGUGCUGAUAAUGCCAUCAAGUCACCCACGAAGUCGAAAUAUGGCAUUUUCCAGUCCACUGAAAGUCUUCCGGCAACUGAACGCUUCAACAUUGGUUCACAAACGGUUGAGUUUUCGGUUUUUUACUUUCUUAUUUUUUUCUAUUUUAGUGUAUUUUCUAAUGUUCAAGGAAUUACAAGGCGGGAUUGUAUGAAGUCAAGGAAGUAAAUAACUAAGACAGUUUGAAGGCAGUAAUGUUUGGAGUAGUCAAGGAAGUGAAUAACAAAGACAGUUUGAAGGCAGUAUUGUUUGAAGGAGUCAAGGAAGUAAAUUUUGUUCUGUGAGUAUUAAACACUAAUUGGCACUACUGUCUUAUAAGAAGUGAAAAUUGCAAUUGUACUUUCAAGUUGAGUACAUCUACAUUGUAUAUGUCUUCUACUUCUUUAUUUCAUUUUAUUUUGAAUCCAAUUUUACUACUCCGAUAUAGUUUUGGUACGUUGUGUGUUAGCAGAACACUUUCAUACUUUGAAAAUGAAGUCGCUCUUUGUGAAGCACAAAUGGAAAACUGGAAACCAAACUUGACAAUUGCGGAGUCGAAAGAGCGGCACUAUUCGCAAGAGUAUGGUUAUUAUAAGGUGAUGAAGGACGUCACAAACUUGAGAAGAGGGGCAGAAGAAACAAGAUUCAAUUUUUUGGGUAAGAAGAAUCCAACCAAAUCCCUUGAUAGAGGUAAGAAGUUUGCAUAGUACAUCCAAUUAUAUCUUGUAGUAUCCAACCAAAUCCCUUGAUAGAGGUAAGAAGUUUGCACAGUACAUCCAAUAAUAUCUUGUAAAAUUAGUCCCCCUUUUUAUAUUUAUUGAGGAUUACAUUAUUGCAUGAUUGAAACAUCACUGUCACGCAAUUUUCGAUAGGUUGUAUUCAAUAAGGUGCCGAAAUUACAAAAAUGUAACAUCGUUAAUGGUAAUAAUUAAGAGUGAUGCACAGGAAUAUGUUGAUCCAUAUGGAGGAUUUGUGAUGAUGAACAAACUCUAAUUCUUACAAUUUAAAAGAACUUGAAAAUCUACUACAAAAUUUUAAAGAAUAAAUUUCUCUCAAGAGUUUCCUCAAAUCUAGCAGAUAUGAUAUUACAUUCUAAUCUUUCAAGGUGAUGUUCUUUAUCCUUUAAACAUCUUCUGCAUGUUAUUUGUCACGUCUAAGGUAUUGUCUGGAUUGAAACUUUGGUUAGAAAACUAAUAUUGGAAGGCAAAGAAAUGUUUCUUUUGGUUAUAUACCAAGAGCAUAACUACUUACUCUAUCAACGACUAAAUCUUUAUCCAAUUACAAAGUAUCACCUAUAAUUCCUCUGCCGUUGAGUUUGUCUUUCGAGCAAGUACUCCAACCUGAGUCCUUGGUUGUAAUCUCUAUGAAGGUUAUUUCUUUCAUCUCAUAUUUGGAGUAGUAUUGUUUCUUUAAGAUCGUCUAUUAUUAUUUCUUAAUAAUCACAAUAUUUACCCGAGGCCUCACAGAAUUAGUCAUGAUUUAA